GACGAACGCUGGCGGCGUGCCUAAUACAUGCAAGUCGACCUUAGUGGCGAACGGGUGAGUAACACGUGGGUACCCUACCCAUCAGCUGGGGAUACCACUUGGAAACAGGUGCUAAUACCGCCUACUGAUGGAUGGACCAGCGGUGCAUUAGCUAUUUGGUGAGGUAACGGCUCACCAAGGCCACGAUGCAUAGCCGACCUGCGAGGGUGAUAGGCCACAUGGGGACUGAGACACGGCCCAAACGCCUACGGGAGGAAGCAGUAGGGAAUCGUCGGCAAUGGGCGCAAGCCUGACGGAGCAACGCCGCGUGAGUGAAGAAGGCCUUAGGAUUGUAAAAUACUGUGGUCAGAGAAGCGUUGUCUACCCAGAAAGCCCCGGCUAACUCCGUGCCAGCAGCCGCGGUAAUAC
rnacentral:rRNA from 1 species